UACAGAGGGUGCGAGCGUUAAUCGGAAUUACUGGGCGUAAAGCGCGCGUAGGUGGUUUUGUGUGUUGGGUGUGAAAUCCCUGGGCUUAACCUAGGAAUUGCAUUCAAAACUGCAAGGCUUGAGUGAAGAAGAGGUGAGUGGAAUUUCCGGAGUAGCGGUGAAAUGCGUAGAUACCGGAAGGAACACCAGUGGCGAAGGCGACUCACUGGUCUUUUACUGACACUGAGGUGCGAAAGCGUGGGGAGCGAACAGG
rnacentral:rRNA from 1 species